GUUGCACUCAUCAAGGGAUUCGACCUGAAAACUAACGGCGGUGCUGGGAGACAAAGGAGUUUGAAACGUCAGUAUUUACCUAGGUGCUGUGCAACGAAAGAAAGGAGCUUUCUUUCCAAGUAAUAAACUCCUGUAGGACGAUGUUCUUUAUGUUUGUUGGAUCUAGAAGUUUCAUUGAGAAAUGAAAACAAUUGUGAUUGUAAUG